GAAAACCAACAGAGCAUUGAAGCGGACCGAGAUGGGCUGGGUGACUGUCUAGAGCGCAUGUGGACCUGUGGGAGGAGGCGGGGUUAUGAGCGGCGGGCGGGCUGACGACCUGCAGCACCGGAGCGCCAGAGCCACGCAGACCUGCUGCUGCUGCUGGAUCUGAGCGGCCAGUUUGGCCAUUUCCUCCGUCUGCUCGCCGGCCUGGCUCUCCAGGAGGCGGAGCUGCCUCUUCAGGUCCGGCAGCGAAUCCGUGGCGAGGUGGAGCGGCAGGCUGAGGUCUCGGAUCUGAGCGCACAACUCCUCCUUCUGCUUCUGCAGACGGGUCGCCUCGGACCGGCUCUCCUGCAACCGACAUCAGAGCUUCUUUAGGAGAGGACAUGGACACAAGCAUCAUCACAAACACCGGCGUUCAUUGCUCCGCCCCCCACAGACCUGCAGACUGCGGCGGAGGUUGAAGAUCUCCGUUCCCAGAGCGGCGUUCUCCUGAGAGGCUUUCUCCUUCUGCUCCCUCUGGUUCUCCGCCUCCUCCAGCGCCUGGGCCAGCUCGCUGUCGAACCUGCGCUCACAGAAUGAACACUCUGGACUCACAGAGGAAGGUUGUGUCGCUGCGGCGGCGGCGGGACGUUUUCUGCAGACGCGUCGACAUUUUUUACUUAUUUAUUCUAACUAACGGAAGAUGACCUCCCGUUAACUGACUGGGAGUCUCUCAGCCGGGAUGAUGUCCGUGAAUCCGUCUGUUAUGCGCUCAGUGCACGAUUGUAGGUGUGGCUGUGCACGUGCAGCCGUGCACGUAGUUUUCUAUGUUUUAGAGCCACGAAGGCCGCGGGUGGCGCUCAGAGACACACCUCCUCUGCUUGCGCUCCAGCUCAUGCGAGCGGCUCUGCAGACUGUCCAUCUGGACCCGGGCGUCCUGCAGGUCAGAGGUCACGCGCCGACAGUGGCGCUUCAGCUCCACCGCCCCCCGCCUGGACUGCUCCAGCUGCGCCUGCAGCGCCGCCACCUGCAGGGCAGACAGUUUUGCAGUCAGAGGGGGAGCUGCCGCCCCCCGGCCGCACACGCCUCACCUUGGCGUCCAGCUCCUGCCGGCUCCGUCGCUCCGCCUCCAGUUUCUCCUCCGUCUGCUUCAGCCGCCGGCGGACAAACUCCACCUCCGUCUGGCAGCAGUCCAGCUGCACGGACAGCUCGCUUCCUGACAGACGGACGGAGAGGUUUCCUCAGACCAGAAACAUCUUCAGCUGGACAACAUUUAUGGUCUGAAUCUUCAUUCUCUGUGAAAUGUUUGCUGCUGGUUUAA
rnacentral:lncRNA from 1 species